rnacentral:rRNA from 1 species
CCCUUAGAUGUUCUGGGCCGCACGCGUGCUACACUGAGUGGAUCAGCGGGUCAGGUUGCGCGAAAGCGUUUCCUAAUCUUUAAAUCCGCUCGUGAUGGGGAUUGACGGUUGCAAUUUUCUGUCAUGAACGAGGAAUACCUUGUAAGCGCGGGUCAUCAUCCCGCGCUGAAUACGUCCCUGCCCUUUGUACACACCGCCCGUCGCUCCUACCGAUUGGGUGGUCCGGUGAGGCUUUGGGAUCUGAGCGGAAAGAGCGUUUCGCCGUUUCUGCUCGGAAAACUCAGUCGAACCUUAUCAUUUAGAGGAAGGAGAAGUCGUAACA